rnacentral:rRNA from 1 species
GACGAACGCUGGCGGCGUGCUUAACACAUGCAAGUCGAACGGAAAGGCCCUGCUUGCAGGGUACUCGAGUGGCGAACGGGUGAGUAACACGUGGGUGAUCUGCCCUGCACUUCGGGAUAAGCCUGGGAAACUGGGUCUAAUACCGGAUAGGAGCCACUUUUAGUGUGAUGGUUGGAAAGUUUUUUCGGUGUUGGAUGAGCUGGCGGCCUAUCAGCUUGUUGGGGGGGUAAUGGCCUACCAAGGCGGCGACGGGUAGCCGGCCUGUGAGGGUGGACGGCCACCUUGGGACUGAGAUGCGGCCCAGACGCCGACGGGAGGAAGCAGUGGGGAAUACUGCUCAAGGGGCGCAAGGCUGAUGCAGCGAGGCCGCGUGGGGGAUGACGGCCUUCGGGUUGUAAAAUCCUUUCGCUAGGGACGAAGCUUUUUGUGACGGUACCUAGAUAAGAAGCACCGGCUAACUACGUG